rnacentral:lncRNA from 1 species
CGUUUCCCGAGGUAGGAGCAAGGUGGCUUCGCGGCAUCCGGAAAAGGUGAGCUGGGGGUUUAGUUGAAGUUGGCAAGACCAGGGCAGCGCAGUAGACUAUGCAUCUGCGGAUACGAUGGUCCCGGCCCGAGAUAGCUAAGGACCAGAGUCUAAUCACUCACCCGCUUGCUCCCUCUCGAGUGACCCCCUUAAUAGUGAUACUACAGCAUUUCGCACUCUAGACAACUUUCUACUCCCUACACCACGUCUCGCUAUUGCAGGCACUAGUCUUACUUAAUUCGCGCUCAGAUGCCUUUUGCGUUCUGAUUACCCUCACCAGUAGUAUUACCAGCCAGCAUUUACAUCGGUCUUUGCAAUUUGCCCCGGCAGGUUCUUUUCUCCCCAUUUUUCUACUAGCAAACAAGGAACUUAAAUUUUAAUAACGGAUUUUUGCCGAUAGAGCUAUCUGGGUUCAAGAUCUAAGAGGGAAAAGCGGUUUGACCCGUUGACUCCAGGAAAGGUAUGCGUGCAUUGAGGACAUUCUUCGCGGAGGUGGAGGGGUGUCGGUGGACGGCAUCGAGCUCUAGGCCCUGUGACCCACAGUCCGCCUAAAUAAAGAUCAUCAUCGCAAGAACUGUGGACGAUUUGAAGAUCCUGAAGCCCUGAAAUUCUUCCCCAAGUUUUGGAGGAGCUACUGUUGUUUUGGUGUAACUCUGGUAAAUAAAUUGGUACCUGAUGAUCAAUCUGCACUUUCAGUAAGAAGGUAAUUUAUUGUAUGUCAGGAAAUAAUAACAACAGCAGAGUUGUUGUUUUUUUUUU